rnacentral:rRNA from 1 species
UACGUAGGGUGCAAGCGUUGUCCGGAAUUAUUGGGCGUAAAGGGCUCGUAGGCGGCGUGUCGCGUCGGGAGUGAAAGACCGGGGCUUAACCCCGGUUCUGCUUCCGGUACGGGCAUGCUGGAGUGUGGCAGGGGAGACUGGAAUUCCUGGUGUAGCGGUGGAAUGCGCAGAUAUCAGGAGGAACACCGGUGGCGAAGGCGGGUCUCUGGGCCAUUACUGACGCUGAGGAGCGAAAGCGUGGGGAGCGAACAGG